UCCAGACUCCUACGGGAGGCAGCAGUGGGGAAUAUUGCACAAUGGGGGGAACCCUGAUGCAGCGAUGCCGCGUGGAGGAAGAAGGUUUUCGGAUUGUAAACUCCUUUUAUCAGGGACGAUAAUGACGGUACCUGAAGAAAAAGCUCCGGCUAACUACGUGCCAGCAGCCGCGGUAAUACGUAGGGAGCGAGCGUUGUCCGGAAUUACUGGGUGUAAAGGGAGCGUAGGCGGGACGGCAAGUCAGAUGUGAAAACCACGGGCUCAACCUGGGGCCUGCAUUUGAAACUGUGUUUCUUGAGUACUGGAGAGGCAGCCGGAAUUCCUAGUGUAGCGGUGAAAUGCGUAGAUAUUAGGAGGAACACCAGUGGCGAAGGCGGUCUGCUGGACAGCAACUGACGCUGAGGCGCGAAAGCGUGGGGAGCAAACAGGAUUAGAUACCCCAGUA
rnacentral:rRNA from 1 species